AUUGAACGCUGGCGGCAGGCCUAACACAUGCAAGUCGAACGGUAACAGGAAGCAGCUUGCUGCUUUGCUGACGAGUGGCGGACGGGCGAGUAAUGUCUGGGGAACUGCCCGAUGGAGGGGGAUAACUACUGGAAACGGUAGCUAAUACCGCAUAACGUCGCCAGACCAAAGAGGGGGACCUUAGGGCCUCUUGCCAUCGGAUGUGCCCAGAUGGGAUGAGCUAGUAGGUGGGGUAACGGCUUACCGAGGCGACGAUCCCUAGCUGGUCUGAGAGGAUGACCAGACACACUGGAACUGAGACACGGUCCAGACUCCUACGGGAGGCAGCAGUGGGGAAUAUUGCGCAAUGGGCGCAAGCCUGCUGCAGCCAUGCCGCGUGUAUGAAGAAGGCCUUCGGGUUGUAAAGUACUUUCAGCGGGGAGGAAGGGAGUAAAGUUAAUACCUUUGCUCAUUGACGGUACCCGCAGAAGAAGCACCGGCUAACUCCGUG
rnacentral:rRNA from 1 species